rnacentral:rRNA from 1 species
UACGUAGGUCCCGAGCGUUGUCCGGAUUUAUUGGGCGUAAAGCGAGCGCAGGUGGUUUAUUAAGUCUGGUGUAAAAGGCAGUGGCUCAACCAUUGUAUGCAUUGGAAACUGGUAGACUUGAGUGCAGGAGAGGAGAGUGGAAUUCCAUGUGUAGCGGUGAAAUGCGUAGAUAUAUGGAGGAACACCGGUGGCGAAAGCGGCUCUCUGGUCUGUAACUGACGCUGAGGCUCGAAAGCGUGGGUAGCGAACAGG